AACGAACGCUGGCGGCAUGCCUAACACAUGCAAGUCGAACGUGACCUUCGGGUCUAGUGGCGCACGGGUGCGUAACACGUGGGAAUUUGCCUCGGGGUAUGGAAUAAACUCAGGGAAACUUGAGCUAAUACCAUAUAAUGUCUUCGGACCAAAGAUUUAUCGCCCUGAGAUAAGCCCGCGUAGGAUUAGCUAGUUGGUGGGGUAAAGGCUCACCAAGGCGACGAUCCUUAGCUGGUCUGAGAGGAUGAUCAGCCACACUGGGACUGAGACACGGCCCAGACUCCUACGGAGGCAGCAGUGGGGAAUAUUGGACAAAUGGGCGAAAGCCUGAUCCAGCAAUGCCGCGUGAGUGAUGAAGG
rnacentral:rRNA from 1 species